AUGCUUCUACUUUCUGUAUGGAGCUGGGAGUGUCUGCUUGUUGGACGCCCGAAGAGCGUCAAGUUUAAUCCUUGGGAUGAAAAUGGCGAGUUACGUCGCCCAACUUGGGCUUACAAGUGGGAUGUGGUAUCCGAGAUGACGAACGAUGUCAAUCUCAUGUACCAAAAGUACAUUGCCGAGUUGGACACGAUCACGCCUGAGCAGGUAAUGAGGUCAUUACUUCAGUCAUUUCUCACGCUUGCCUGA
rnacentral:rRNA from 1 species